GGUACAGGAGCUCUCCUAUAUCCCAAGCCGGUGCCCCGUUUCCCUGCUGGACUGUGACAUUUCCUGCCUCGCCUCCCCCUUCUUUUCUGCUCCUGUUAUUUUACAGCAGUGUGAGGAUGUUUGAUGAGAAAUGAAGCAGGCCUCCGAAGUUCCUAUGUUAAAGGAAAACAUAUGGAGGAUAUCCUGCAGAGCGCUCCUGCAAAGGCUACACACAACUGGGGGUGCACAGAACUUGUUGCUAAGUCCCUCAGGGAUGCUCAGUCUGGGAUGCUGCUACUGUUCACAGCCAGCACAAACUCAUGGUCAGAAGAAAAAAAUAACUAAAUAAAAAUGCAACUCCCUCUGGGUAUUUCCUAUAUUACAGGACAACUUUUCUUAUUUCAUUAGCAAAAUGAUUCAGGCUCAUGUGAUACAAAUAGUUUUGAUUUUAAACGUUUCAUGGCAAGCACAGUACUGUCCUAUAAUUGGUUCAAACCCAUUUCUAAAAGAACUGUUGGAUUACUAAAAGGGGCACGAAACCCAACAUUUUUCUUUCAUGAUUCAGAAAGAGCAUGGGAUUUUGAACAACUUUUCAAUUUACUUCUAUUAUCAAAUUUGCUUAAUUCUCUUGGUAUCCUUUGUUGAAGGAGUAGCAUUACACUACUGGGAGGUAGCUAAGCACAUCACGUGAACCAAUGACAAGAGGUAUAUAUGUGAAGUCACCAAUCAGCAGCUAGCUCCCAUUGCAGCUUCUAAGCCUGCCUAGGUAUGCUUUUUAAUAAAGGAUACAAAGUGAACAAAGACAAUUAGAUAAAAGCUGUAAAUUGAAAAAUUGUUUAACAUGGUAUGCUCUAUCUGAAUUAUGGAAGAACAAAUGUGGAUUUCAUGUCCCUUUAAUACACAGAGAUAAAUCUAAUACAUGUGUGUAAUUGUGGGCAGCUGUGAUUAACUUACAGUCCAACUCGGGUUCACAAAGUCAGCCCUGGAAUUAGGAUGUCUCAUGUCAGUUUGUGAGUGUGGAAUCUGGUUUACUACAAAUGCAGACUACAGAGCAAACAGUUCAUAUGCAGAAAAAGACCCACUCCCUUCAAAUGUGUCCUAUGCACGCGUUGACAAAACCUGGCAAUUCUGAACUGUGCAGUUCUGCAGUGUUGUAUUGUGCAAGUGCACCAUAUCUGUUGUGUAUAGGAUUAGGCAGAAUAACUGAAUAAUACAUUCUGUUUGCUCCAAAAUGUACUGGGCUAUGGUGGUUCCUUUCUAUGCCUAUAUAGAGACUGUUUGGGAGCCAUCUGGAAGUAUCCUGAUUUCUGCAGUUGCUGCCUCUAUCCAGUUAGCUGGACUACUGUGAAGUCCCAGCCUGCUCCAGUAGCACCACUGGGUGCACAACACUUGUGAAUCACCUUCAUCUUCGGGAUCUUGACCAUCCUCUGACAGAGUGCUGCAUUUCUAUAAGGAUUGAUUAUGGACUUUUUUUGGUUUUAUUUGGUUAAAUGUGUGUUUUUCCUUUUGUUUUACAUUAUGUUUUUUAGAGAGCGCCCCUAAAGGAGAUUUGUAUAUGUACAUUUAUUCCUUUUGUUUGCGCCAUGUCUCUCAACAUUCCAGAACAAAAACCACGGCCAAAAGACAAGCUCAGGAAAACCAGAGUUGUGUCUCUGUGGCACCAGGCCACGAGUCUAGGUUGUUGUGCAGUACAUGGGUGGACUGUGGGAGUGGCUAUUUUAUUAGGCAGAGAGGUGGUUUGUGACUGGGCAUGGGUCCAUUUCAAGUUCUGGAAAUUGAAAAUUCAAACAUUGCAGAGCUAAAUUACAUAAGGGGGCCAAAAUAAAUAAUGAAAGUAUACAGGAAAGUUGUUUCAUUAAAAAUAACAAUAUUAUAUAUAUAUAAUAUAAUAUAUCUCAAGGUGUGUACUGUCCCUUUAAAGCAAAGACUAAGGGGCCGAUUUAUCACGGCCCAAAUAGGCCCGUAUACACCUGUUUCCGCAAAACAGGAGUUAAGAAGCAGCGGUCUUAAGACCACUGCCCCUUAACUCAUCCGCCACCUCUGAGGCAGAGGACAGCAAUCAGCCCGAUCGGAUACGAUCGGGUUGAUUGACACCAUCUGCUACCAGCCGAUUGGCCGCAAAUCUGCAGGGGGCGGCAUUGCACAAGCAUUUCACUUUAAAUGCUUGUGCAAUGAUAAAUGCCGACCGCGUAUUGCUGCACUUUGAUAAAUUGGCCCCUAACCCUUGGAUGCCAGACAGGAAAGCAAUGUCCCUGAAUAUUUAAAAAGAUUUUUAAAAAUCAAGGUGCAUUUUAUAUUAUUAUGUAAAAAAAUGUUUAGAAAUCUGCUAUUAUAAUGGAGAGCCUGCUUGUUAGCUAUACCUGACCAAGAAUGUAGAGCUGUUUAUUCACUUUGUUCAAUUUUUUACAAGAUCAAUAAAAUUGUUCUGAUGUUU